rnacentral:lncRNA from 10 species
CAGCCUUCCGCCCAAGGACAAAUGGGGUCAGGGCAGCAGCUGUACCUGGCGAGAAUGCACUCCCUUCCUGGGGGGCCACUUUUUUCCAGGAGUGCAUGGCCCUGGGCUGGCUGCUGAGACCUGUGCCCAGCCCCUCCGUGGUGGUACUCUCGUCAGACACCAGCCUCUGCGGCACCCAGAUCAUGAUCCGCUCGAUUAACGGGCAGGAGGUAAUGGAUGGAGCCCGCCAUGCUGCUCCGGGUGCCGCUGCUGAUGCUGGGGACCGAGCCAGGAUGGAGGGAGGGGCGUGCACAGGAGAAACCUGGAACUUUCCCUGGGAAUAGACCCUGCAGGGGAAAGCCCUGUCCCAGCGCCUUCUGAAGUGGGCUGCAAGCUGCAUUCAAAGGGGCUUCUCACCCCAGACUGAGGGUGGGAGCGAGGGCUGCGAGGCUGCACCCUGGAGAUGCAGCCAGGCCAGGCACUCACUUACGCUGCCAGGCGGUUCACACUCACAGCGCGUCCUGAACCGCCUUAGAGGGGCCGUAGAGGGCGGCUCUCUCAUUCACAGGUGCUGAGUUUGCUGAGCCCCUCCGUGCUUCUUGCUUGCUCCCCGCACUCCAGGGUGGAGGUCCUGCUAUCUCCUCUCUGCAGAUGAGGAGUUCUCUCAUCCGAACCUCACGGCUCAAGGAACAGAAAGCUGGACCAACGGUGGUCAAAUACAGUGGGCGCUUAACUACCUCAUGGGAGUGAAUGGAAAGGAGUUCCCAAGGACCCCGGGUUCUAGCCCCAGGGCCCUGUGGAUGGAUCUCACGUGGAAAGGGGGCUUUGCCUCUCAAGGAUCUGGCGAUGCGGAGAGCAGCCUGGGUUAUCCUGCCACGAGAAUCUAAUACAUUCAUGAAAGGAGCCUGGAGGUGGGUGGCACCGGCGUUGAGAAGGAGGUAAUGACAUCACCCAGGGCCCUGGCUCCUUUCCCUCAGUCAUCCUUGAAUGUUGGCUACUUGUUCUCUGGCUCCUGACCUCACAGUCACAAGACGGCUGCCACUGCUCCAGGCGUCCCAUCCUCACACGACAGCCUCUGAAGCAGAGAGUGAGAAAGGGCAUGGAGUGGCAUCACGGUUCAAAGCUGGCAGCCCCUGGUCCCCAGACUGCACCGGGCCAGUUCCAGCUUCUGGGGCCUGAGAGGCACGGGCCUCGGGUUCCCUGUGAGAAUUGUUCCUGGUGAUAGACCUGUGGGCUCUCUGGGGGCUGAGCGAGAGCCGUCCUAACGGGGAGAUGGCCCAUCCAGGGCCAACACGGCACCUGUGCGUUCUCCCAUCCUCCUUCCCAAGGGAGUCCUGGCCAGGCCCCUCUCCUGUGUCCGAGGAGUCUUGCCAGCCCUCAUGGUCUGUGUCACGAUCUGCAGUAGCUGUCCCAUCAGGGCUGAUCUGGAAGGAGCCUUUCCUCCACAUGGCUUUUCCCAAGUCAGCCCUCAAGUGCUGUGAGCCUGGACCGCGCCCCUGUCCUCCAGGCAGCUGCCUGCACUCCACACCCAUGCGCGUGGCAGCUCUGCGCCCAGCAGCCCUCCUGGUGUGAUUUUUAUUUAUUUACCUGAAUACUGGAACAGCUGCUUUAUUGAGAUUCAUUGGUCGCAAGGCUUAAUUAAAAUAAUGCCACGCGUCUCACUCAGCGUGGGUCACCAAAGCAAAUGUUUGUUUUGCUGCUGUCAGUUAGGGCCACGUGUGAUGAAGCGGCGGCUCCCGGCAGGGAAGGCACGUGGGCCCUGACCCCCUGCACCUCCCUGGGUUGCA